UACAGAGGUCUCAAGCGUUGUUCGGAUUCACUGGGCGUAAAGGGUGCGCAGGCGGCCGUGUGUGUGAGGCGUGAAAGCCCGGGGCUUAACCCCGGAAUUGCACCUCAAACUACAUGGCUAGAGCAUUGGAGAGGGUAGCAGAAUUCAUGGUGUAGCAGUGAAAUGCGUAGAUAUCAUGAGGAAUACCAGAGGCGAAGGCGGCUACCUGGACAAUUGCUGACGCUCAGGCACGAAAGCGUGGGGAGCAAAAGGG
rnacentral:rRNA from 1 species